CUUUUCCUCUUCUCCUACCCAAACUCUUCUUUUUUUUCCUUUUCAAAACAUUCUUCUUGCAGUGAAGAAUGAAAAUAGGGCUGCAAAGGUAGGAAAUCUUAAUGAAAACUAUUUAAAAUCCGCAGCUGUGGCUGUGAAGGUAGCAUCAGUUAAAAGGAAGAUGAAGAAAGCCCCACAGCUCGGCACCAGUCACAAGGUUUUGGAGGUCCCUCUCAGGUCAGUUCCUGGAACUUGUCACAACCUGAGUGGCUCUCUGGACUGUCAUCUGCAAACCCCAGGCCACAGGACCUGAGCCCAGGCUGCCUUCUCUAUGACCUGAGGCCUUGGGGAUCUGGGCCUGCACGGUGCCCAGGACAGAGGCUGGAACCUCACUGGACAACCAACAAGGACUCGGAGGGGAGCUGAGGUCAGCGCGGGACCCUUUCCUCCCUGCCCCAAACCAGAAGUAGCCACUGCUCGUGGCUCCCAUGAGGCCCUUCCUUCCAGCUGUCAGAGCCUCAGUGUCCACCUCUAGCUGCCCAAGGUGACCACAAAGGGCUCGGUGAGCUGUGGACUGCUACGAAAGGCAAUUGCAAGCCGUGGGCCCAGGCUUUCCAGUGCCGAGCCGCUCAGCAUCUGCUCCUCCCACAGCGCAGCCGCAAAGGAGCCUUCACCUGAAACCAAUCACCCACUUGGAGGCGCAAGUCACCAUGGGAGCCACGGGUGCCCCCUCGUGGUCACAGAGAGGACUGCAGGCCCAGUUUGUUGAGGUGAGGCCGAGAUGUACUAGGUU
rnacentral:lncRNA from 1 species